rnacentral:lncRNA from 1 species
GUGUAGAUCGGAGGAAGCCCAACCUGUCGGUGUCUACUCCGAGGUUGUACCUGCGGGAUCAAGUUCUCCUAACCCGAAGCUUGCUCCUAGGAUUCUUCAGUAUUUCGACUUCUAAAUUCUAGUAAGUUCUUGUUUUAUUGUUCUUUGGUUUAUGAGUUUACUUUAAUCUCUUCGCGUAGAGUUUAGAGUAAUCAUCUCAAGCGUAGACGUGGUGUUUGGGCUACGAUACUCAUAGAUAUUCCUUGACUAGCUAGACCAUGGUAGUAGCGAGGAACGUGACAUUUCUGAGUUACCUUUGCAGACCAUAUCUUGUUAGCAGGAAGGAUAGGGUUUAUUGGUGCGGGUUGAACAUCCUCUGUGGUGUCUAGAUUCCGUGAGCCUCCCCAAUAGAAUAGUAGAUCAUCCUUACCAAGGUUAGAAAGAGAUUACGGUUGUAGUCUUCUCUAUUUAUCACUCACAUCUAGAAACAUUCUUUGUAGCCUAAAGGUUAGUAGUAAUAGACCAAGUUAGUUAGAUGCACUCUUUCUCCUAGUGGUAAAAAAAUAAAUACGAUACUCUGGAUAACCUCCCGGGUGAAGUGCUCACCGAUAUCCGUGCGCUUGCGGAUCAAUUCCUUAUUGCGUUCCCAAAUAUCAACAACAGGUUAUUCCAAGCUUCACCUGGGUUUGUGAAAUUCAAAGUGUCUACCACAUAAAUCUUUGGUGAUUGAAAUAUGGAAUAGCCUAGAUUCAAGUCCUCUUGACUUUGCUCUUACUUAAGACACUUGGGUUUUUGUAAGUUUUUGAAAUAAAAACAUGGCUUGUGAUUCCUUGAAUGAUUCUCUCAAAUCGCUCAUAUGUGUAAGUGUUUCCUUACCAAGGCAUAGAAGAUUGAUGCCUUCUUAUGAUCUUCCUACCUCUAAAAGCUUUAUCUGGAUUUUUGGGUAGGUAUAAAAGGUGGGCAUACUUGCAGCACAUAUGUUGCGAAGUCAAAAACCGGACCACUAGGAGAUACAAGCCUUACGCCUUGAUUGAGAUUGUGCAAGUGUGUGGAAAUUGUUUGUGGAAUUGAUGGAAAUCUUAAUUCUAAAUAUUUUUGGUCACUCCUUUUUACAUCAUGACUCUCUUUUAUUUUGAAGGAUAAAAGGGAGAGAGAGGAAAACAUAUGGGCUCUAUCUUGUGUAUAUUUUUCCCUCUUUUUUUUCGUGACGGGGACGUUUGAUUUUUUUUUUCUUUCCUUCCCAUCUAUGCCUCUUUGGGUUUUUUUUCUUUUGAAUUUUUUUCAACUAUAGCCCAUAUGUCUUGAUGAAUGGAAUCAGAGAAAUUUAAAGAGAUGUCAUGAGGACAAAAAGUAAGGAGUGAAUUUGGGGAUGCGCAAAUCUCAGAAUGAGAGUUUGGCAUUUUUAUUUGGUGGAAAUCUAAGGCACAACUCUCAGGAUAAGAGUUGGCAAAAUUUUUGGUGGAAGGAAGGGUGCAUGUUGUGCGCGACUUCUUAGUGUAAGAGUCGACUUUAUUUGGUGGGUGCAUGUUGUGCGCGACUUCUAAUCAUGGGCAUAAGACCAUAAUCUCGCUUGGGUCACAACAAUUUGACAAAGCUCAACAUACUACAAGCAGCAUAUGACUGAAGGUUUCAUCAUGAUCAAAGUAUAUUUGGCGUUGGUAGGUGAAAGCUUAAAACCAUUAAAGGAAACUCGCCAUGUGUAACUUUUGUUUGUGAUAAAAUAAAUCCCAAGUACUUUGUAAGAACUUAGCAAGAAUCAUGUCAUCCUACUAUAUCACAUAUGUCGAUUACUUAGAUAAAGUGGGGUCCCUACUACAAGUGUUUAUAACCUCAAGGAUAUUAGCAAUGAUUAAACCAUAUGCAAAGAAAAUUUGAAACUAGGAGACAUGUUAAAUGGAGUUUGAAGGUAAUGAUAUUUUAAAUAUUUUAUUUUUGAAAAACUUUUUAGAAGGGGGAGAAGGUUGUGCAAACCGAGUUCUCGAAGAUUCCCUCCCCCACACUUGUUUUCUUCCCUGUCAUGGUUAGUCAUAAUAUAUAAAGAAAACAAGUGCUCAUGAUAACUCAGAAAUAUUAUUGAUAACUUUGAAAAGGCACAUUAAAUUAUUGAAGGGAAAUUUAAGCAACAAAGAAGAUCAUGCUUGUGCCUAAACAAAGAGAAGCGUGCAGCAGAUGUGGUCUAAAGAUUUUCCACGAGGCGACCAACACCUAGGUUUUCAGCGACCUUCCUCAGCUUAUUGUUGAACCUGAAACAAAACCUAUUGAUAUCGUCGCUGAGGUUCCUAAUCUCAGUAUGCUUCUCUUCUAGGUCGUCUUCUAAAACCCUUAGGACAGAGCGAAGGCUAGCUUGCUCGGAUUUAAGAUCAGCAAGGAUACUAGGAUCAUCCUCCUCAUCGCUGCUCUCGUACUGUCCUGCACGACGCUUGAUGGAUGGCCGGGGCAAAUGCCUCCUAAUCCUAGGGAGAGCACUGGAGGAUUUGGCCUCCUUGGAUUUGCCAGCCUUCAGGCUACCAACACGACUGCUAGAUCCUUCACCACUAGGAUUUUUCUUCUUGCGCUCUAUGUUAUUUGUGGUGGAACGGGCAGCACACUGUUGAUGGGUGCUUUGUGGUUUGCUGGUAGGGCGGCCAAAGGAUUUCUCUUUUCCUGACGGACUUUCUCCCGAGAAGAAUUCUCUUGGUAGGGUGCUAUAUGUAGGUUUGCUACGGUCUUGGGUGCGUUGAUCAGUGAGAGGGCAUAGCUAGCCAUGAUUAGCACUUGGGAAUGGGAGAGCUUAGCAAACUUUUGCACAAGGGAGAAGAGAGAGUCUUGGUGUGAAGAAAAGAGAGAGCCAUGGGCUGUUUAAAUAGGUUCAACCGAGGUCAUAAAAACAGAAACAAACUUGAUCGUAGGCGG